UACGAAGGGGGCUAGCGUUGCUCGGAAUCACUGGGCGUAAAGGGCGCGUAGGCGGCGUUUUAGGUCGGGGGUGAAAGCCUGUGGCUCAACCACAGAAUGGCCUUCGAUACUGGGACGCUUGAGUAUGGUAGAGGUUGGUGGAACUGCGAGUGUAGAGGUGAAAUUCGUAGAUAUUCGCAAGAACACCGGUGGCGAAGGCGACACACUGGCCCAUUACUGACGCUGAGGCUCGAAAGCGUGGGGAGCAAACAGG
rnacentral:rRNA from 1 species